GCCGACAUCAUUUCACCCAUCCAGAGGCGGACUCACAACCUCCGCCCAUCACACCGAGCCAGACUGCUGACCACCUGAGAGCGGCACCCGGAGGACAGGCUGAGGCCAGGGGACGCCCGGCUGAGGUCAAGUAGCCCAGCACCCAGCUUCCUGUUCCCGGUCUCCUGUUUUGUGACAUCAUUUGCACUGGAGGGGGUUGCCAACUGAGGGCAUAACAGUACCCUUAUAUGACACUACAAAAGGCAGGGCCGGAUUAUAAACAGGGCGGAUGGGGCAGUCGUCCAGGGCCCCCCACACAUUGGGGGCCCCCACACUGCUGCUGAGCAGAUGCCACGCCGCCGAGUUCAGGCAGCCACACGUUAGGCAGUGAAAAGUUAAUGGCUAAGGCGGGGGCGGAGAGUUCAGGUGUCUAUCACUACAGGCUGAGGAAUGCAGAAGUCCCAUCAUCAGCAUUGAGGGUCGUGCUGGCGCUGCUGCAGAGAGGCUGGAAGUGCACAAGCUCCAGAGAAGGUUCACUUGGAAGGAUAUGACACCCAGUAUCCCUUACGAAAACCAACAAUUUCCUGACCUGUCCCCCUCCCUUUAAUCAUGCCCAAAUUACCACGCUGUCAUGUUCCCUCCAUGAGCAGUGAAUCAUAUGAAUUGUGCUGGCCAUAACUUAGAGCAACAUCAUGAUCCUCAAUCUACAUAACUUUACAGCAUGAUGUAACAGUCUCAUCCUCAACAGCAAAAUUGUUAAAGAAGAACACAAUACAUAAUGGAAUUUCUCCGCUUAUUGUCAAGUCUCCAUUCAUCAAUUACCAGGAGCAGGAUGUGUGUUGUCAAGUCUCCAUUCAUCAAUUACCAGGAGCAGGAUGUGUGGUCCACAAAUUAUGUAGAAGAGUAGCUGCAUAAUGGCCACAUUUCGGACAUCUCCCAGACUCUGCAUCAUCGAAAUGACUUCUUUGGACCUGAGAGAUAUAAGCCCUAUACACUACUUUUACAUGUAUUUUCUGUAAAGUAGAGCAAUGUACUGUAUACAAAACUCUAAGAAAAUGUUUAAAUAGUGUGAGAUCCUGUGUUA